GGCCCUCGUAGAAACUCACCUUCUCGUGGUGAGGGACGUCAGUAAGCGGAAUUGCGUAGUCUAGCUGAAGCUGAGAACUUU
rnacentral:ribozyme from 1 species